GUUGUCCUAGUCGAAGUGGUGGUUCUCCUUGUCCACGUGGAUUGAGAUGAAGGGCUCCACAGGAUGAUAUCCUGCCCACCUAGAUCAAGAGGGCACCUGCUCCAGAGCCUGGCUGUGGCGAUGGAGGACAUUGCUGCUGCUCGCACAGUAACCCCCAGGAUGAAGCAACACCCAGAACUAUGUGUGAAACAGCUCCUUCAGGGACCAUGACAACAGGCUGACCUGAAAACACUUACAUUCUUGCACCAAAGUCCUUCAGAAGCAAUGAAUUUUAGAAAUCUAAAAAGGGUCACCAAGACAACAGAGCUUCAAUGCAGGCACAGCAAGGAGUGAAUAGUGUCUAUUUUCCACCUUCUGGGGAGAAGAAAAGCUACAUGUACGCAAGAAAUCAUUGUUUGGAUUAUAUUAGCUUUAAAAAUAAAGCCAUAAUGGUCGCAACA